UACGAAGGGGGCUAGCGUUGCUCGGAAUUACUGGGCGUAAAGGGUGCGUAGGCGGGUUUUUAAGUCAGGGGUGAAAUCCUGGAGCUCAACUCCAGAACUGCCUUUGAUACUGAGGAUCUUGAGUUCGGGAGAGGUGAGUGGAACUGCGAGUGUAGAGGUGAAAUUCGUAGAUAUUCGCAAGAACACCAGUGGCGAAGGCGGCUCACUGGCCCGAUACUGACGCUGAGGCACGAAAGCGUGGGGAGCAAACAGG
rnacentral:rRNA from 1 species